UCACCAAAAAAGGGGAAGCAAGGCAAGACGUGGCUGCAGCGGUCUGCAGACGUGACUUCUGAUCAAAUUCGAAUCUCCUCCUAAAGAAACAAAGAGCGACAUUACAUUGCGGGAUGACGUCACCUGAAAAUGACCAAUAGCGCGGCGCGCUGCUGAGCUGUGUGCCAACCGCUCUUUUUUUCAUGCAGGAGACUCAAGUUGGCUUCGCUAACGGACACAGUUUUGAACUCAUAUAUUAGCGCCAUUUAUUGCUGCUUGGACCACAGCAUCUUCCGAAUUUGUAGACAUCCUGGCAGCUUACAAUUAGUUCGAGGUGAGACACUGAAUUUGAGCAGAAACCAUAAGGAUACUCAAAGGACCUGUGACUCUCAGGAAAUGCAUCAAAUGAGAGGGACAGAUGAAACAGUUUCAAGACAAUGGCAGGAAAAACAUGCUGAAGAUUGAAACAAACCUUGGCUGGAAAUAUUUGAAGGUAUCUAGCCAGUCCACAAUGAAAGCUUCGUUGCACCCCAUGAGUCUUCUGGCAGAAAUGAUGGCGCCUGUAUUCUUUGGUUUCCUAAACAUCACACCCUGCCUGUUUAUACGAGGCUCUUCAAUUAAGUCUGCACCCAAAGAUUCAAUAAGAGAGGGGAUCCUGCCAGUCCAAAGUGAACUCCUGAUGGACAUUGAAGUACUCCUGCAGAGCUUGUAUCUUCGACACCAUGCGCAUUAGAAACUCCACUGAGUCCUUUCCUUCACCAAGGCAGGACCCAGUGACUCAUUACUGUUGAUAGGUCA